AUUUCUAUUAGCUCUUUUUACCUUAUUUUUUUUUUGGCCCGUUUUGGUGUUAGUUAUACGGAGUCUUUGUCAAAGAUGUUUUUGGUGGCCGAGGGAAUCAAUUAUGGAAAUUGAAACUCACCUUUUAUGAAUGGUUUUCUAGUUAUUAAGCGUCAGAAUGGUGAUUUAGGUUGAGUUGAUUCAUUGUUAUUUUAUUUUAUUUUUCUUAAUCAUACUAAUCUUGAGAACUUACCUUACCCUAAUAAGGCUGUUAUUGUUUCUCUAGAGUUCUGAUUUAUCUUGCCAAAGUAAGCAAAAGAAAUUUUCGUUAGUCAGUUUUUUCUUAUCAAUAUCUGCAACCAAAAUUGAGGUAAAUUUUGAGAUGCUUAACAUUAUAAAUGAGAGCACUAGAUUGAUUGACUAAUA
rnacentral:misc_RNA from 1 species